rnacentral:rRNA from 1 species
GACGAACGCUGGCGGCGUGCCUAAUACAUGCAAGUCGAGCGCAGGAAGCUGACGGAACUCUUCGGAGGGAAGGCAGUGGAAUGAGCGGCGGACGGGUGAGUAACACGUAAGGAACCUGCCUCAAGGAUUGGGAUAACUCCGAGAAAUCGGAGCUAAUACCGGAUAGUUCAACGGACCGCAUGGUCCACUGAUGAAAGGCGCUUCGGCGUCACCUUGAGAUGGCCUUGCGGUGCAUUAGCUAGUUGGUGGGGUAACGGCCUACCAAGGCGACGAUGCAGAGCCGACCUGGGAGGGUGAACGGCCACACUGGGACGGAGACACGGCCCAGACUCCUACGGGAGGCAGCAGUAGGGAAUCUUCCACAAUGGACGAAAGUCUGAUGGAGCAACGCCGCGUGAGUGAUGAAGGUUUUCGGAUCGUAAAACUCUGUUGUAAGGGAAGAACACGUACGAGAGGGAAUGCUCGUACCUUGACGGUACCUUACGAGAAAGCCACGGCUAACUACGUGCCAGCCGCCGCAGUAA